AUUCCAGCUCCAAUAGCGUAUACUAAAGUUGUUGCAGUUAAAAAGCUCGUAGUUGAAUUUGUGUCAUUGUAUGAAUGUUGAUUCUUUCAACUGUUCAAUCAUUGUCAUAAUUGAGUGGACCUCACGGGGCAUUAGGUUGUUUUGUGGGAGAGUCUCAUCAUUUACUGUGAAAAAAUUAGAGUGUUCAAAGCAGGCUUAUGCCGAUGAAUAUAUUAGCAUGGAAUAAUGAAAUGUAGCUUGGGUACCAUUUUGUUGGCUUGUGUACCAAAGUAAUGGUUAAUAGGGAUAGUUGGGGGUAUUCGUAUUCCAUUGUCAGAGGUGAAAUUCUUGGAUUUUUGGAAGACGACCAACUGCGAAAGCAUUUACCAAGGAUGUU
rnacentral:rRNA from 1 species